rnacentral:sRNA from 1 species
GGUUAACUACAAAAAUGUAGAGCGUAUAAUUUUGCACAUUUUGUUAGUUGAUAACCUUUU